GGGAGGGAACUGGUUGUUAAGAUUUUGGCAGCUCAUCACUGGUUCUAUUCCCCGGGCUCGGCCACCAACCUGCUGUGACCCUGUGGGCGAGUCCCUGACUCUGCCUUCAGCGCAGUGGGGCAAGGCGCACGCAGCACCCGCUGCACGGGGCACCACUACGGCACCUGCUCCAACCACUACAUCAAGGGGGCGGGCGGCUGGACGGAGCGAGCUUGGCCAUUCGCAGCUGGAAAGCGACUGAUGGGCAGAGGGACGCGGGCUCCCUGAACUGGAACAAACCAACCUUCUCUGCGACCGCCUGGAUUUCGCUCCAGAGCUCCCCCCCGACCCAGUGCUGAUGCAUGAAGCCUUUCGCCUCGGCCUGCAUACAGCAGAAGGGAUGGGGGCGACCUGCCACAGGGCCCCCCUGCCCGCAUGGAAGGAAUUGAGCCUCGGCUUCGAUUUACACACGGCCCAACACCAUGGCUGAGGCCGGCUCUUUGAGCAGCCUGUUACCAUUGGCAGAGGGAAGGCCUUGGACAAGUAGGCAGCUGAUCUCUUCUUGGGUUGAAGGAGCACCUGGAUUCUCUGCAGGAGGCUGGCUGCAGGGCUGAGAUGAGGCCAUUGACCUUCUGUGUCCCAUCUGCUGCCGGAAAGGGAGUGGGACUUGGCCAGACGAAGAGCAUUUGGCCCUCUCUGGUGGAGGCCAGAAGGCUUCUCUGUAUUGAUUCCUGCACCCAAACAGACGGGCAUGAGAGACUCGCACUGUGCAUCGCUUCCGGGCAGCGACCAAGACUCCCAACUGC